ACUGGGACUGAGACACGGCCCAGACUCCUACGGGAGGCAGCAGUGGGGAAUUUUGGACAAUGGGGGCAACCCUGAUCCAGCCAUGCCGCGUGUCUGAAGAAGGCCUUCGGGUUGUAAAGGACUUUUGUCAGGGAGGAAAUCCCUAAGGCUAAUACCCUUGGGGGAUGACAGUACCUGAAGAAUAAGCACCGGCUAACUACGUGCCAGCAGCCGCGGUAAUACGUAGGGUGCAAGCGUUAAUCGGAAUUACUGGGCGUAAAGCGUGCGCAGGCGGUUUGAAAAGUCAGCUGUGAAAGCC
rnacentral:rRNA from 1 species